rnacentral:pre_miRNA from 1 species
UCUUAAUGGAUGAGCAAAGAAAGUAAUUUCUUGAGAUGGAAUCUACUCCUGGUAAAAAUGCUGUGAA